UACGAAGGGGGCUAGCGUUGCUCGGAAUCACUGGGCGUAAAGGGCGCGUAGGCGGACCUUUAAGUCAGGGGUGAAAGCCUGUGGCUCAACCACAGAAUUGCCUUUGAUACUGAGGGUCUCGAGACCGGAAGAGGUUGGUGGAACUGCGAGUGUAGAGGUGAAAUUCGUAGAUAUUCGCAAGAACACCAGUGGCGAAGGCGGCCAACUGGUCCGGUUCUGACGCUGAGGCGCGAAAGCGUGGGGAGCAAACAGGAUUAGAUACCCCCGUAGUCC
rnacentral:rRNA from 1 species